AUAUCUCACUUACAAGUUACUCUUUAGGUGAUUAUGUCUUAUUUUAAGUGUGAUGAGAUAUUUUGACUACAAAUGAGAAAAAUACACUUGGUAAAAUUUUCAUUUUUGCAGUGUAACUGAAAAACUGUCCCUCAUUUCUCCUUGGUCUUUUGAGGUCCAACUUAAUCCAGUUGGCGACCAUGUUGUUGCAGUUUUUGGUCGUUGCCAGCUCUCUGUAUGCCUUUUUUCUCCCUAACACUACUAACUCUAUUGGACUGCUGUGUAAAAUGGGCUGUUCAAAGUUUGGUUUGACAAGUUUCUUAAAGAAAAACCAAACUAAUGACCUUUUUUGUGUAUUUAAACCAGUUUAUUUGUGGCUGUCAUAACCUCUCAACACCAUGUUAUCCUUACAGAUGGAAGAUACAGUAGCAGAAACCAGCUAAUUUGUUUAAUAUAUAUUCAAUGUAUCUCCUCUUCCAAAACGGUCUUUUUCUGCUUUGUCGUACCGUUGCUCCCACUCCCUCCUAUCGGUGAAGCAGCUGCUGUGCCUUUCUGCUCUCUCGUAUGCAGCAGUGUGUACCGUUUCAGUUUCAGUCCUCCUUCAUGUCAUCGCCACAGCAGCGCCUGCAGUGAAUGUGUGAACAUAUUGUUUACUCGCUAGAUUAUUUCCUCAACAUUGUAGUGCGAAUUUUUUUUUUUUUUUUUUUAUAGACUUGAGUGACUUUCUACUUUGUAGUGCUAAAAGUUAGUUCACUAGGGACCAAUUUUCUCGCCUUUUGGGCAAAUAUACAAUCAUACAUAAACUGUACUCUACAAAUGUCGUUCUCAAUGUGAAUGUAACUGCACUGAAUGUCUCUGUGUGACUUUAUACAAUACUAGUGAUGUAAGUGACAAGCUUUUCUGUGCACUUGUCCGUUGGUGCAGUUUUAGUGCUUUGAGAUGCACAUUGUCGGCCUCGUUGUGAAUUGGUGGCAUACGUACACUUUGUAGUAUAAAUUAGUAGAGACCAGAUUUAUGUUUUCUAUGGAUAUAUUUGUGAUUUAUAUCGGUGUUCACUGUGAUCAUGUCAUAGAUUAACACAUGAAGGGUUUGUUUUAAUAUCCACUGGAAGAGUAGAAAAUUUUGUUUUGUCUAAAAUAAAACUAAUUUAUAUAAAAUGAAUCACUUAAAUUGUCACCUCAAGAGAUUUUUAUUUUUUGUUUAGAUGUCCAAUUUAGGGAAGAAGUCAGUCCAAUUACAAGAAGAAUAUUAGUAGAAAAUGUAAUUUCCCCUUUUAACUGACAACGAAUAUAAAUGUUUCAUGACCCAAAACUUCAAGCACAAGACUGUAGAAUCAAGUGUUACUAUUUUUGUGGGAACAUUUCCAAUACAUGGUUAGAUUUAACUCUAGAAAUACUAAUACCUCACUUUCAUUUAAUUGUCAUGUUCUCUUUUUCAGCAUGUACCGUAGUUUCCUAACCCACCACAGGACAAAAAAAAAAGCCUUUUCUUUUCUUUAAGAGCUCACUGUCCUUGUUCCCUUCAUUUUUAACAUUGGAUUUGAAGAACACAAUUUAAAAAAAAACAAAACAAAAAAACACUAAGCCAAACAUGUUUUUUGGAGUAAUUUAAAGGUUCAGUAUGAAGGAUUUGCAGGCUCUUGCAUGAGGUUUGCCUUAAAGACUGUUGUUGCUGGUCAUUUGGUAACAUUGGUUCAACUCCAUUUCUAAGUUAACAUAUUAGCUUAGAAAAGGAGUAAGCUAACAUUCACAAAUAACCAGCUCCCAGUACAAAACCAAUUACAACAAAAUGUAUCGAUAUUUUGCAUAUUAACAGUUCAUUAAACUUUGGUGCAGUUCAAUGUUUUGCUCCAUGUUCAGGGAGUACUUUUAAUUUUCCCAAGUACAUAUGCAAUGGAAUAAAGUAUGUCAUAUAAUACUGUAGUAUGACAAAUAUGACUGAUAGAAGUCCUGAAUUACAGCAAACAAAGGUUUGUUUUUUUUUAUUUCAAAAUCCUGCUGUCCACCUGUUCAUCCUUGAACUUACCAAGGCAGAUGGAAACCUCUUAUCUCUACAGUUAUUUGUAUUCACAACUUCAUCAUUUUCUCAAAGUAACAUGAUAACAGUCAUAUUGACUCUAAUAAUGUUGAAUGGGCGUUAAAUUUAAUGUUACACUGUCUCGAAGUGCUUUAAAAGUGUGGUUUACGUUGCUUCUGCCUAGAGUGACUUUAAAACCUGUAACCUCCUGCUAGCUGCUGCUUGUCGUGCAGAACUAGUUUGUCCUCUGACCUUGUACCAUACGCACCAUAAUAUCUGGUUGGUAGCUUAAAUAUACUUUCUGGUGCAGCUCUAAUGUGGACGAGUAUGUAAUCCUCAGGUUUAAGCUUUGUCGUGUCAAAUGGACUGCUUUGAUGUUUUUAUAUUUCUGUCAUUUUUAUCUGAUGUCACUGUACAUGGGCAAACUGUGCAAUUUUUGGCACUACUGUUGUUGCAAUAAAAGUAAGGAAAAUGA